GCAGCGUCCGUCUGGUUCACCUACUCUGAGCCAGGCCUAGAGCAAGUGAAUAAGCCCAGCAGGAAUGGGGUGAGAUCAGGCUUCCUGAGCCCUCAGAGCUGAAGUCCCGGCUCUGUAAGUCCUGCCACUCACUCCACCCAUGGGUGCCGCUGAGCCACCCUUACCAAGCUCCUGGCAGGCUCAGCGCCUCCAGGCUGGGUGCCUGGGAAUUCAAAGUAGCUCACGUAGGAGCAGAACAGAUACUUAGAGAGAUAAAAUCGCCUGAGAUAAUGGCUGGCUGGAGUCUGAUGCUCUGGGCACACAAACAAAGGGAUGUUAGGACUGCCCAGGGCACUGUGGGCGCAAGAGUUAGUCUGAAGUAUAAGGUUCCAGGCAGCCCAGCCAGUCCCUCCCUCCUCAAUGGGUCUGUCCUGGAUGUGUAGGGUCCAUCUCUGAAUAUAAAGCCACCUCUCUGCCCUCUGGGGGCUUACAUUCCAGUCAGGGGGACAAACAAGAAAACAAUAAGAAAAUAGGUGUAUAACAUAAGGUCAGCGGUGACACGCUGUGAAGAGAAAGACAGCAGGGUGAGGGAUGGAUAGAAAGCAGCUGGAUUAAGACAUUUGGCCGGGGGUGGUGGCUCACGCCUGUAAUCCCAGCACUUUGGGAGGCCAAGGCGGGCAGGUCACUUGAGGUCAGGAGUUCGAGAUCAGCCUGGCCAACAUGGUGAAACCCCCUGUCUACCAAAAAUACAAAAAUUAGCCAGGUGUGGUGGUGUAUGCCUGUAACCUGUAAUCCCAGCUACUCGGGAGGCUGAGGCAGUAGAAUUGCUUGAACCCGAGAGGCAGAGGUUGCAGUGAGCCAAGAUUGCACUAUUGCACUCCAGCCUGGGUGACAGAGCAAUAUCUCCAAAGAAAAAAGACAUUUGGCCGGGUGCGAUGGCUCACACCUGUAAUCCCAGCACUUUGGGAGGCCAAAGUGGGCAGAUCACCUGAGGUCAGGAGUUCGAAACCAGCCUGGCCAACAUGGUGAAACCCUGUCUCUACUAAAAAUAUAAAAUUAGCUCGGCAUGGUGGUGCAUGUUCAUAAUCCCAGCUACUCGGGAGGCUGAGGCAGGAGAAUUGCUUGAACCUGGGAGGUGGAGGUUGCAGUGAGCCGAGAUCACGCCAUUUGCACUCCAGCCUG
rnacentral:lncRNA from 1 species